rnacentral:lncRNA from 1 species
CCUACUCCACAAUGAUCUGAUCUCCCUUUACUCACACCCAUAGGAUGGUCAUUACAAAGGGAAGAACAUCAUCACAUACAAAGCACAAACACAAACAAUAGGGUGAGCUAGAUAUAAAAGAAUUCAAGCAAUUAUACAACAUAUCACAUUUACUUAAUUAUUCAAGCAAGGUAGAAUAGUACAUACAUCCUAACAUGUUAUGACCUAGACUUUACCGUUCAGACUUAGAAUGAAUACCGAGAUAUGGCGGCUUGUGCACUUGUGGUGGC